UUAACCGCUGCUGUAUCUAGUAGUUAACCAGUCAUAAGUAUCCCGCAAACGCACCAAUUUCUAACCGCAGAACCAGUCGUACAAAUCUCUUAAAACCGCUAGAAACCGCAACCACCCGCAUCCGCAAACGCCCGCAAUCGCAACCGCAACCGCUGCGUUUGAACCAGUCAGGCCCUUAGAAUCUUAGAUAUGCCAAAGAUUCUUUUCUAUUAGAGAAAAAUAUUCUUCACUGAAAAAACGUUACGUUGUCUAUCUCUGGUUGUAUCUCGUGCCAAAAUAACUCUCUC
rnacentral:lncRNA from 1 species